AAAUAGACCAUAAAGAUGCUAUUAAUAGUUUUAAGCUCACCUGAGCCCAAUAUGUGCUCAUGGCUAGCUUUUGUGAUCGCCGUUUGUCCGUCGUGCGGCGUCAACAUUUGCCUUAAUUGUUAACAUUCUAUAGGGGCCACAUUUAUUGUCUACGGAAUACCGUUAGUGCUUUCGUGGUUACACAUUAAAAUCCAGAGAGCGAAAAUGCGAUAGUACGUAGCGACUAUGCGAUAGUACGAUGACGACAAUACGAUUGCGAUAGUACGAUGGCGACAAUGCAAAUAACGGGUGCUGGACGUUUCGUGCCACUACCAGUUCGUGCCACUGAUAUUUGUGUAGGAGGGUAUUGGACGUUGUUGUUGUUUUUUAUCGAGUGCACCGGGAUUGUCUCCCAUAUGGCCAUCGCCCCCAGAAAGACGUGUUAGUUGGUUACGUGGGAUAGUGCAAGAUACAGGGGACAUCCCGUUCCAGAGGUGACCCUGGGUCUUAUAGUGCACGGUGUAUAGCACCUAGUACACUGCACCUCGGUUUAACGUCUCAUGCGAAAGACAAGUUAGUAGGUUAGGUGCAGCGGGGGAUCGAACCAGCGAUCUCUGGAUUGUGAAGACAGUGUGUUACCACUAGACCACGGAUCCGCUACGGCAUUGGACGUCUGACUAUUGGGGUUAUUUACCCUCGGGACUUCGGUUAAAAACCAUUGCCCGAGCACACUGCUUAACAUAGAACUCUGCAUAAAAAGCCGAAAACGGCCAUACAAUGGACAGCCCGAUUUUACUGGGCUGUACCAUUGGUAUAAAUAUAAAACUUUGCAGUGUUGGUGCGGUGCCUUAAUAAAAAUCUAUUGGUUUAAAAAUAUAUAACCUUUAUAUGAAGCGUUAAAAAGACGCAGUGCUAUACAGUGAAUAGGCCUAACGCGGUUAAAAAGCGGCGUUUUAUUUGGUUGAGGCAUUGGACGUUUCGUCCCACUGAUAAUAUAUAGGCGGAUAGGUGUGAAUAAUACCGUAUAGGUGUGAAAUCAAACUUUCGCACCUUUGAUUGUAACAUCUGUUCAAUGGGAAAACAACAUUGUUUUAUUUCAAGAUUGUUUAAGAGUCAAUUUAAAUGCUUCAUAUAAUACAUUAACAAUACAUUACAUAAAUAUAUUAAAACAUCAGAAGUGAAUGCAUACAUACAUUUAAAAAAAUGGCAGAGAUUACAUAAAUAUAUACAAACAUUUGCAAUAAAUUGACAUUAACAACAUCAGAAGUGAAUGCAUGCAUACAUUUUAACAAUAUCUAGAUUGAUUACAUAAAUAUAUUCAAACAUUGUUUUAAUACACAUAUACAAAAGUGCACAAAUAUAGAAACACAAAUACAACAGCAUACUAUCCUAUCAUACACAUACACAAAUCAUAUAUACAAUGUAUUGCAUUUCAGAAGUCCUCAUCAUGGAUGUCAUCCUGGGUUGUGCUCGGGCCCAGCCCGAUGAUAUGGCUGCACGCUCUCAGCAGUUGAGUAGUUGUCAUGUCAUCGUCUUCGUACUUCUCCCAGAUCUCGAAGAGCCGCCCGUGCACUUCUUUGAAGCAAUGAGUUGUUUACUAAUAGGUUACUAAUUGACCAUUAAAGGCCCGUGUCGGUAAAUUAAAGGCCCGAUUCGGUAAUUAAUUGUUUGCUCAUUACGUAAAGACACAUACAGCUAAUUGAAAGUUUGUGAGUCGAUAGUAAAGCAUAAGCUUUUCUUAAAAGAAAAAUACCAACUUUAUUAACCAGGUUUUCCGAAGGAAAAAACUGGUUAUUAGAUUGGCGAAUGCGGGCGGGCUGGCUGGCUGGCGGGCUGGCGGGCUGGCUGGCUGGCGGGCUGGCGGAAUAAGCUUGUCCGGGCCAUAACUAUGUCGUUCAUUGUCAGAUUUUAAAAUCAUUUGGCACAUUUGUUCACCAUCAUUGGACGGUGUGUCGCGCGAAAUAAUUACGUCGAUAUCUCCAAGGUCAAGGUCACACUUUGAGUUCAAAGGUCAAAAAUGGCCAUAAAUGAGCUUGUCCGAGCCAUAACUAUGUCGUUCAUCGUCAGAUUUUAAAAUCAUUUGGCACAUUUGUUCACCAUCAUUGGACGAUGUGUCGCGCGAAAUAAUUACGUCGAUAUCUCCAAGGUCAAGGUCACACUUUGAGUUCAAAGGUCAAAAAUGGCCAUAAAUGAGCUUGUCCUGGCCAUAACUAUGUCAUUCAUUGUGAGAUUUUAAAAUCAUUUGGCACAUUUGUUCACCAUAAUGGGACGGUGUGUCCCACGAAAGAAUCACGUCAAUAUCUCCAAUGUCAAGGUCGCCACGACUAAAAAUAGAUUAAAAAAAAAAAAACUUACAAAGGGGGUUAAUUUUUUUUGGUCAUUUCAAAAGUUCAGUUUGAGUUUUCUCCCUUUAUCAGAUUUUUUUUUCACAAUGAAAACCUGGUUUUGUGACAAUUUUGUCCCUUGUUUUAAAUUGUAUUAUUGUUCAUUCAUGUUAUAUAUUAUUAUUUAUGUAUAUAAUGCACACAAUUGAAGCAUAGAAAAUAACAGCAUUUCAUGUUUUAUAUUUAUUAAACAUAAUGAACUAUGCAAGAUUUUAUUAUUACAAGCACAUACACAUGAUUCAUAAAAAAUAAAACACUUUAUGUUUAUCGCAUAUAUUACACUAUUUACAAAUAUUAGUAUACUAACGAUAAAUCAUUUUAUUGUUUGUUAUUUAUAAUUGUCAAAAUUGUUAUAAUUUUCUACAUUUAUAUACACCCCAAUAUCAUUCACACCUAUACGGCAUUAUUCACAACUAUCCGCCUAUAUAUUAUCAGUGGGACGAAACGUCUACCCCUUUUCAACACAAAUAUCAGUGGAACGAACUGGUAGUGGCACGAAACGUCCAUAAACCCAAAUAAUACGAUGACGACAGUAUGAAUAUGCGAUAAUAAGAUGACGACAGUGCAACAAUACGAUGGCGACAGUGUGAUAGUACGAUGGCGACUAUUCGAUAAUACGACGACGACUGUGCAACAAUACGAUGGCCACAGUGCGAUUGUACGAUGGCGACAAUGCGAUAGAACGAUGGCGACAAUGCAUUGUCGUCAUUUUACUAUCACGUUGUCGCCAUCGUACUAUCGCAUUGUCGCAAUCGUACAAUUGCACUAUCGCAUUGUCGCCCUCUGGAUUUUAAUGUGUAACCACGAUGGCCCUAACGGUAAUCCGUUAUUGUCCGAUCUUCAUAAAAUUUGGUCAAAACAUAUGCGCCAAUGAAAGCUUGGACGAGUUUGAAAUUGGUUCCGGUUGUUCCGCCACGGGGGAGGGGCAUUUUUUUCCUCAUAUGUCUAUAGUAAUACAUUGUUAACACUGUAGAUGCACCAUUUAUUGUCCAAUCAUCAUGAAACGUGGUCAGAAGAUUUGGCCCAAUGAUUAUCUUAGAGGGUUUCGAAAAUUGUUCCGGUUGCUUGAAAGACAUGGCAUUCAGGGGGGGGGGGGGCAUUUUCCCUUAUAUGGCUAUAGUAAAACCGUGUUAUCAUUCUUACGACCACAUGUAUUGUCCGAUCAUCAUGAAAGUUGGACAGAAGAUUUGUCACAAUAAUAUCUUGGACGAAUUUGAAAAUGGUUAUGGUUGGUUGAAAAACAUGGCCUCCAGGCGGCAGGGCAUUUUUCCAUAUGGCUAAAGUAAGACCUUGUUAACACUCUUAAGAGGCAACAUUGAUUGUCUAAUCAUCAUGAAACUUGGUCAGAUUUUUCCCAAUUACAUCUUGGACAAUUUCAAAAAUGGUUGCGGGUGGUUGAAAAACAUGGGCACCAAGGGAAGGAGAAAUUUUUCCUUAUAUGGCUGUAGUAAAACCUUAUGAACACUCUAGAGGCCACAUUUAUUGUCUGCUCUUCAUGAAACUUGGUCAGUAGAUUUGUCCCAAUGAUAUCUAGAAAAUCGUGGCCGCCAGGGAGUGGGGAAUUUUUCCUAUUAUGGCUAUAGUAAAACGUUGUUAGAACUCUUUAAGUUACAUUUAAUGUUCACUCUUCAUAAAAAUUGACAUCUUGGGCUGCACAAAACAGGUUAGUUCCUUAAAAUCUCAGGUGAGUGAAUAUGGGCCUUUCAGACCCUCUUGUUUGCUAGGGGUUGGAACCGUGUUCCCAAGAUUUUGUAGUCCAGCUCCAGACCAAAAGGAAUCCGAAAGACAGGUGAGGGCAUGCCAUUGGCUUUGUUCCCAUUGGUUGCAGGCUUAUCAAAUGCUGCGUGCCCAGAGACUCUUUCUUGGGGCGGUGAGGGGCUCACCGUGCGGAUGGGUGGGGGAGCACUGGGGGCUUCUUGAGGCUGGAAAUAAAUGUGGCAUCAAUUCAACGAUAAAUGCAAGUUUGAAUGUGUAGUGUUUAGAAAGACACAAGAAGGCCACAACUGUGUUCACAGAUGUGCAGAUGAAGGCCACAACUGUGUUCACAGAUGUACAGACCGCCAGACGGAUAGUGCUAAAUGAUUAUUCCAAGUAAAGUAUGAGCUAGUGGUUAAUGGAGCUGUGUUUUGGGAAAACAGGGCUUAGUGGAUGUAAAUGUCAACCCAGAUUAGCAUAUGUAGCCCCCCACACACUGAUCAGUAACGACACUUUCUACCUUAAUGGCAUACUUUAUUUCAAGGGAGUCUCUUUUUAGCCAAACCCAGUCAAGGGGAUUAGUGUCGUCAAGGACAACACAUUAAACACAUGCAUUUAGCACCUUUUUCCAAAAUAAAGGCUUAAAACUAAAAGCGAAAGAAAAACGCAGCAAUACAAUUGUACAAUACAUGAAAAUGGAUACAUACAUUUUCAUUUCAUCACACCAUCUUCGUCAUUAGAUCAAGGGAUUAUUCAAAGUUUGAGGUUUACUAGAUGCAUGUAAACAAUAAAUGUGAACAUUGAGGUAAGAUUGAAAUUCAAUCACGUGUUGCAGUGGUUAUGAUAAGUAAUGUACAGAUACAGUUACAUUGAUAGCCUUUAUAAAUGAGCAUAACUUCAGCAAUUUUCAAUGAAGAAUGAUUCAAAUUACACACGCACGACUUCAUAAAGAACAAAAGAAGUAAGUAUAGUACUUAGCAAGACAAAAUCGUGUUUGUGGAUGUACAGACAAACGGAUUACCUGAAGGACAGUGGAUGUACAGACAUACAGAUGACCUGAAGGACAGUGGAUGUACAGACAUACAGAUUACCUGAAGGACAGUGGAUGUACAGACAUACAGAUUACCUGAAGGACAGUGGAUGUACAGACAUACAGAUGACCUGAAGGACAGUGGAUGUACAGACAUACAGAUUACCUGAAGGACAGUGGAUGUACAGACAUACAGAUGACCUGAAGAACAGUGGACGUACAGACAUACAGAUUACCUAAGGACAGUGGAUGUACAGACAUACAGAUUACCUGAAGGACAGUGGAUUUACAGACAUACAGAUUACCUGAAGGACAGUGGAUGUACAGACAUACAGAUUACCUGAAGGACAGUGGAUGUACAGACAUACAGAUUACCUGAAGGACAGUGGAUGUACAGACAUACAGAUUACCUGAAGGACAGUGGAUGUACAGACAUACAGAUUACCUGAAGGACAGUGGAUGUACAGACAUACAGAUUACCUGAAGGACAGUGGAUGUACAGACAUACAGAUUACCUCAAGGACAGUGGAUGUACAGACAUACAGAUUACCUGAAGGACAGUGGAUGUACAGACAUACAGAUUACCUCAAGGACAGUGUUAAAUCAGUUUUUCCCAGAAAAGUCUUUGCACGUGAAUAAUUAAUCUGCGUUCUGGAAAAACUGGGCGUGAUGCAUGUUUUUUUUUUGCUUUUAUGGAAUUUACGUUUUACCCUUUGGAUAUGUAUUUUGAUGCAUUUGUUGUUACUUAGAAAGUCAAAUUUAAUUAAAGACUUCUUACUAUA